rnacentral:rRNA from 1 species
AGAGUUUGAUCCUGGCUCAGAGCGAACGCUGGCGGCAGGCUUAACACAUGCAAGUCGAGCGGGCGUAGCAAUACGUCAGCGGCAGACGGGUGAGUAACGCGUGGGAACGUACCUUUUGGUUCGGAACAACACAGGGAAACUUGUGCUAAUACCGGAUAAGCCCUUACGGGGAAAGAUUUAUCGCCGAAAGAUCGGCCCGCGUCUGAUUAGCUAGUUGGUGAGGUAACGGCUCACCAAGGCGACGAUCAGUAGCUGGUCUGAGAGGAUGAUCAGCCACAUUGGGACUGAGACACGGCCCAAACUCCUACGGGAGGCAGCAGUGGGGAAUAUUGGACAAUGGGCGCAAGCCUGAUCCAGCCAUGCCGCGUGAGUGAUGAAGGCCCUAGGGUUGUAAAGCUCUUUUGUGCGGGAAGAUAAUGACGGUACCGCAAGAAUAAGCCCCGGCUAACUUCGUGCCAGCAGCCGCGGUAAUACGAAGGGGGCUAGCGUUGCUCGGAAUCACUGGGCGUAAAGGGUGCGUAGGCGGGUCUUUAAGUCAGGGGUGAAAUCCUGGAGCUCAACUCCAGAACUGCCUUUGAUACUGAAGAUCUUGAGUUCGGGAGAGGUGAGUGGAACUGCGAGUGUAGAGGUGAAAUUCGUAGAUAUUCGCAAGAACACCAGUGGCGAAGGCGGCUCACUGGCCCGAUACUGACGCUGAGGUACGAAAGCGUGGGGAGCAAACAGGAUUAGAUACCCUGGUAGUCCACGCCGUAAACGAUGAUAACUAGUUGUUCGGUCACUUGGUGACUGAGUGACGCAGC